rnacentral:lncRNA from 1 species
UCCAUAAUUCUGUGAUUACAGAUUGCUAUAAGUAAUAAAUAUUUAUAAUGCUUUUAUAUAGCAAUAAAAACAUCUUCUAAAUAGUCAUCUGUGUGCUGAUAUUAAGGCCCUGUGGCUUAUCCUGCCCAUAGAUACACUCCCACGCCUUCCAUGGUGCCUUGCAAAUUGUCUGGUAGAUAUACACUAGCUAUUAUGUGAGAUAUUCAGUAGACACAAGGUGACAGUGUUAUAUAUGGAGUGGUAAUUUGUGUCGAGAAAAUGGUUGAUAUUAAUAAAGAAGGGGGAGAUUUGGGAAUGUGGCCAUGGGGAUUGGAAAGCCCCGUGGUUGAGAUAACAUUAGACUCUUAACAAUGAGGCCAUCAGGAAUAUAAAAGAGUUUAGAGGGAACAAAGAAGGAGACUCCAUGAAGUCUCCAGUUUCUUGUUCUCCAGAUGGUCUCUUGUUCUCCAGCCGUUAAGGCAUGGAUGUUUCUGGGUGUUUGCUGUUGUUGUUACAUUCAAAGUUGUUUGACCAAUGAAAAGUUGUUUUGAAAAGAACUGCUGUGGAGACAAGGGUAUAAGAGGGGAGCCUGCCCUCAAGAUAAAAAAAGCAACACGAUGAAGUUACAUCAAUAAAGAAGCAGGAAAAAGAAGUGAAGAGGGACAGCCUGGCAGAAUGGAGACCAGGACGGAAACAGGCACUUUGAUUGCCUCAUGAAGAUGGGUUCGGCCAAACUCAGCAAACUGCUCAGAGAAGCUCGUACAGAAAGUCGCUGGAAAUAGGCGCACCGGAGCGGGAGAGAAGCUCGAGCUAAGAGAAGGGGACCUGUGCAUACAACUGCCUCUUGCUGGUCCCAUGCUGCACAGGAAACUCCAGAGCUGGAGAGAACGGAUGAGGAGAGAGAGCUCUUGCGAAUGCAUUCAUGCAGUAUCCCAUCUUGGACUACAUUUUUUCCAGAGUGGUGACAACCUGAGUCUGUGUUAGUAGCUCCAGUGACUGCAAAUAAACUCACACAUUAUUUUAUUUUUGUGAGAGAC